CCAGCUGCAUUAGGCAAUGGUUUGUUAGAACUGAGAAAAUGUGAUUGCCUUUCAUCAGCGUUGGUGAACCAUGACUGGCAGUGCUGGGCACAGUUCUGGACCCACUGGUACGAGUUACAUGGACAGACUUGUGAGAGGCCAGGGAAGAAUGAAGAUGCUGAUGAAGGGAGGAGAGCACCUCUCCUUUGAGCACCCCUCUUUUGAGGAGAGGCUGCGGGCUGGGCUGUUUGGGGAGGAGAAGGAAAGGGGCGAGCACACAAGCAACUGCUGGUUUUUGUGAGGCAGAGACAUUUGUAAGAAAGCAAGAGCGGGAGCUCAUUUCUACGUGGUUAGUUCAGAAGUAACUGCAUUGUGCAUGGCUGAGCUGGGAAGAGCUGUACCAGGUGAUUGCAGAAUGAAUGUUACUUCAUCCUCCUUGUUAUUGCAAGCUGCAGAUCUAAACUGCCUCUCUGUUGCAACCCACUGCAGCUGUGUCUAUUUCUCCACUCCCCCCAUACUUAGUUCUGAUUCUCAGCUUCCCUGCGGUACUGUUGUGUUUGGGUUUGUGUGAAAUCCCUCUUAGCACCGCCUUUAAGAAUCCUGAAUUUUGCACCUCGAGUUUGCUUCACUUGUCCAAAAGGCUGAGCGUUCUUGUUCUCACUGUUGUAGCAAUGCAGGGGCUCUUUGCUUGGUAAGCAGAGAGGGAUGCCGUUGGAAUCUUCUGGUUGGCACUGAUUUUCCUUGUCUUGUGUUUGCAUCAGGUGUUGUGAACGUACUCCUGACCACUCCCCUUUGGGUGGUGAACACACGGCUGAAGCUGCAGGGAGCAAAGUUCAGAAAUGAAGACAUUGUGCCGACCAAUUAUAAAGGCAUCAUAGAUGCCUUCCAUCAGAUCAUACGGGAUGAAGGAGCCUUAGCUUUAUGGAACGGUACUUUCCCCUCCUUGCUGCUGGUCUUCAAUCCUGCCAUACAUUUCAUAUUCUAUGAGGGCUUUAAAAGAAAGCUUUUAAAAAAGCAGACACAGCUGACAUCUUUGGAUGCUUUUGUCAUGGGUGCAGUAGCCAAAGCCGUUGCCACCACCCUCACUUAUCCUUUGCAGAAUUUCUGGGUAACUGAUCUA